rnacentral:tRNA from 1 species
GCCAGGUUCGGGAUCGGUGGACUCAUAAUCCGCUAAUCCCUGGUUCGAGUCCUGGUGGGGGCA